rnacentral:lncRNA from 1 species
GAACAUGCAGAUGAAACGAGCCAUGGGCCAGAUGAAAUGAAAAAGUAGGGAAAAUUUUAGUGUAUGACACAUUGAUACCUAACAACAAACAUAAGCAAACAUAAACAUCAUAAUGCUCGUCUUCUUGAGCCUCGGGGUCGAGUUGUUGGUCGUCACAUCCUUUAAGACCUCAGCUUCAAAAGAAGCUUCCUCCAUAUCCACAAGUUGGCCGUCCACCACAGUCUUAAAGAAGUCCAUCUUUGGCACGUCAAGGUCAG